GGAAAUGUGCCCGAAAGUUAAGGACCUCUUUGAUGUAGAGGCUAAUAGGGGUUCAAAUCCCCUCAAUUCCA
rnacentral:tRNA from 1 species